CUGGUAGCAGUUUUGCUAGUAUGAGCAUGCUUCCCAUGUGGAGUAUGAAGUGUGUUCCAUCCUUGGUGUGCGUUGUGUGACUCAACAAGGCCAGCUGUGACGGAAGGGAACGAGUUCAGCAGUGUCAAAAAGGAAGAUGAACAGUCCCUAAGCAAAAUUCUACUUGCUACUUGCUGGGCGAACCGAAAGGAAAGGAAACCAGAAUGCCACUUCACUUCCUUUGGCUGCGCCACACACACAUGUGCACACAGACAUCCAGAGGUUGACAUACAUCAAUUGAAAACGAUAAGGAGG